CUCUGAGCCUGUUUUUUAGCCCUUCCUGGGAGGCUCCUUCAGGAUCCCAUCCUCAACAAGGAAAGGCUGGCUGUGGCUCUUAGGUAUUUGGUCAAUAGAAUUAUCUGCAUACUGUGGAUGGUGAAGGAUGGGAGUUGGGAGAAACUGAGAGAUAGUGGAUUGCCUAAAGAUUAUCCUGGGAACUGAGGACAGGAUGAAAGGAGAAGAAUGAAGGGUUAGCCUGGACAAGAUGUACCUCAAGAAAAAUGCAGCAUUUUGCAAGCUGACCUCAGACAUCGCAGUUUGGGAACCACUGAUCUAUAGCUAACAAAAGAAGAACUUUAAAAUAAAGGAACCCGCACCACCACAUCUCCUUCUUACUGGUUACCAUGUGUGCGGAUAGUGCUAUUACAUAGUUCAGUCACUAGGUGGCACUGGAUUUAAUUGUAGUUGUGUUAACUCAGCAGUUUCCUGUGGUUAUUCUGCUCUUGUUGGAGAGAGACAAUAGUGUUCUAGUUUAGCUUCCUGAAUUGUAUGUUAUUUUCAGCUCUCAGUGACACUGGCUUGUCCUUCACUCCAGAACUGGGAAGAACAUGUAUAAGUUAUAUAGCUUUUUUCUGCUUUUCCUUUAUGAAUCGAUUGUUUUAAAUAUAUUAUUUGACAUAAGUUUGAAAUUGGGCAGGCUAUAAAUAUUUCAGUAAAUAAAUAAAUAAAGCAUUUCCCACCUUUGUGCCAUAAACACAUUUCUGUUUUAGUGUAAGGCAGCUGAGGUUGCCAUUUCAGCAAGUAAGAAAUCCUGUACAGAGAAUAAUCACCGAGGUGCUUAAGGAAAGAACUCUGUCAAAGCAUUUGCUGUUCAUAGUGGGCAGACAGACCCUCACUCCGUUCACAGUAUGGCCCCUUUUAGUUGCCACCAAGGCACUAUGCUGUGCUAAUUCUGUGCUGGAGUUCAGUAUUUAGUGAGGUGCAUAAAGGAUCUUGUCUUGAAGUUCACUAAUAUGUGUGGCCGGCAGGGCCCACUCCAAAGAAAACGACUUCAAGCCCGGAAUCCUUAAUCCCAAACUGCUCAGUGCCUGUUUUAUUCCAUUUCGUAUGAUUUAACGCCAUGAGGAUGCCAUGAAUCACUUUCAGUGUUGUGUACAUUUUAUACCCCUCUGAA